CGGGCGGUAGCUCAGCUUGGUAGAGCUUCCGGCUGUAGCAAGCGCACAACCGCAGAAACCGGAUUGUCGCAGGUUCAAAUCCUGCCCGCCCGACCA
rnacentral:tRNA from 1 species